UCACAUGAUAUACAUGUGACUGUGUGUGCACUGUCUGGAGGAGCAAGCUGUCGUGAGGAGAGGAGGAGCAGCCAGCCAGUGUGACAGCCUGGAGCACUAGCCACCAGCUACAGAGGAGCUGACACUCAGGUCCCUGGAAAAUUGCUCUGUGACGCUGAAGAAGAAGAGAACUGCAGGAGAGGCAGUGUUGCGGAAGACUGACAGGCAAACGACACUCCCACCUUGCCUUCUUAAAGAAGUUCCAUCACAGCUGCUCUGAUUUGAUCAGUCACAUGCCUCCAGUUGUGCCAGGCUGCAGAGAAGAAACAAGCAGAUCUCAAUCUAAUCAAGCACCUGUGCGGUGUGCUGGAAAAACAAGUACAAACCAUGGAGGCCCCACCACGCAACUUACAGGACUUAAAGGAUCUGCUGCUAACAUCUUAGUGCCCCAUACCACAGAACAUCUUCAGAGAUCUUGUGGAGCGAGUCUGUGUCUUAAUGGGUCAGAGCUGCUGUGGCAGCACAAGGGGGGCCUACACAAUAUUAUGCUUACAAAGAUACAGGAGACCUGGUAUUGAUGGUUUUAUCCUAGAAACACUUGCAAUACGUAAGUCCAUUAUAAACAUUGCUUCGAAGGGAAACUAACAUCACAUGCUGGCAUUUCAUCUGAAAUAGUACGAAGUACAUUUGAGGCAAAGUUUCUAUUUCAGUUUCUGGCUGCAAACCUUAUAAUUGCAGCCAUAUGUGGUUCUAAUAAAAGGCCAUCAGAAAAAG